CUUGAUUCAGAAGCCCUGUUGGCGGUUGGUGCACUUGAUUCAGAAGCCCUGUUGGCGGUUGGUGCACUUGAUUCAGAAGCCCUGUUGGUGGUAGGUGCACUUGAUUCAGAAGCCCUGUUGGCGGUGGGUGCACUUGAUUCAGAAGCCCUGUUGGUGGUUGGUGCACUUGAUUCAGAAGCCCUGUUGGUGGUAGGUGCACUUGAUUCAGAAGCCCUGUUGGUGGUAGGUGCACUUGAUUCAGAUGCCCUGUUGGCGGUUGGUGCACUUGAUUCAGAAGCCCUGUUGGCGGUGGGUGCACUUGAUUCAGAAGCCCUGUUGGUGGUAGGUGCACUUGAUUUAGAAUCCCUGUUGGCGGUAGGUGCACUUGAUUCAGAAGCCCUGUUGGCGGUUGGUGCACUUGAUUCAGAAGCCCUGUUGGUGGUAGGUGC
ensembl:lncRNA